UAAUGCUUUAUACUUUGUUUUAAUACUUUUUUUUUUAUUGUUCCAGGGUUUGACAAAAGGGUCAAAUACAAAGGAACAUAAAUGCCAUAAAACAGCACACAUAAAGUUGAUUCACUAGCCAGACCAAAACAGAACAUUUUGGUUAGGUGGAUAGAAACCACAUCCAACCAAUCAUCAAAUGUUUCCCUAGCGACAAAGUGGCAAAAAAAAAAAAUUAAAAAAAAUAGGAACACCACUUCAACAAAUAAUAAAUUUUCUUAAAAAUCUUCACUGAACUUUCUACGAAACCUAAAAAAAUUAAACCUUAAACCACUAUUCAAUCAUUUAGCCCAGCAACGUAAAGUAAGUAUGCUGGUGUAAAGGCAAAAAUAAAACAAUUAUUGUUAAAAUAGAAUAAACCCUCUGGGUUGAUAAUGUCCGUAUCUGUGAAAAGGUUUUUUAAAAACAAAACAUUUCUUAACUUAAUUUACACAUUCCCAAUGACAAAUGCAUAAGUUAUUUUGCUAAUUCAUUCAAUAUUUUAAGUCUGGCUCUAUCAAAAUGGUGAUGGUACAUAGUACUUAAUUUUUUUUUUAUAUUACAAAAGUAUAAAAUUGUGAUGUGAUAUAAUGUUAUCAAUACUUUAAUAAAGUUAUGAGAUUUUCUAUUACAACAAUCAGAUGUUAAGAUUAAUAGAGGACAAAGCUAGUUUUGGCAGAAUACAUUUUAAAAAAAUGGAAUUGGCAUAAACUUUUUAUGCAAAUGAUCACUGUGCUGGCCACAUGACAACCUUGUAGAAAAAGAUGGCUUUACAUCAUUUGCCCUAUAUAUCACAAGGUAUGAAAGGAGUACUUUACUUAUUUUGCAAGUCAUAAAUUAGCAGAAUAGUAUCUGGAUUAUUCUUACACCAAUCUUUAAAUGAUAUGCUUAAAUUGUUUCCUUUGAGCUAUCUAACUUUCUUUUCACAAACUGUUUAUAACAUAUUAAUAACUUAUAUGGGAUUUAGAAAAACUAAUAAUAAGUAAAUAUAUUUGGCAAAAACAAACAAAACAAUAAUCAUUACAAUGUUUAAGUCAAUUUGUCUUGUAAAAACAAAAAUUGUUUUGAUAUGAAACUCUUUGGUCCAACUAAGUCAUGUGAUAAAUAAAA